rnacentral:rRNA from 1 species
AGAGUUUGAUCCUGGCUCAGGAUGAACGCUGGCGGCGUGGAUAAGGCAUGCAAGUCGAAUGCUACAGCAAUGUGGCAUGGCAAACGGGUUAGUAAUGCAUAGGAACAUUCCCAAAAGUCAUGAAUAAUUCGUCGAAAGACGGAAUAAUACAUGAUGUGCUCUACGGAGUAAAGAUUUAUCGCUUUUGGAGUGGCCUAUGUCCUAUCAGCUAGUUGGUAGUGUAAUGGACUACCAAGGCUAUGACGGGUAGGGGGCGUGAGAGCGUGAUCCCCAACAUUGGAACUGAGACACUGUCCAAACACCUACGGGUGGCUGCAGUCGAGAAUAUUCCACAAUGGACGAAAGUCUGAUGGAGCGACGCCGCGUGCAGGAAGAAGGCCCUUGGGUCGUAAACUGCUUUUGUAAGGAAAAAAUGUAAUGAUGGUACCUUGCGAAUAAGAGGUUACUAACUCUGUGCCAGCAGCCGCGGU